CACUGAUGUACCUACAACAUGGAGAUCAAUUUGCUUGCAACAUGCUUCCAAGAAGUGGAGAGAAUACAAAGCCACCUUGAAGAGGCAUUAUGAUUGCCAUGAGACAGAUGAGGCUCGCCUGUCAAAAAUACCGCCUGGGGUGGACCCAGAACAGUGGAAGGUUCUUGUGGAGUAUUGGGGAUGUGAGCAAGCACAGGAACGUAGUGUGACAAAUCGUGCCAAUCGAGAUAAGCAAAAGAUGGGUCACACCAGCGGUAGGCGAUCACAUCCUCAGGUUAGACACCAGAUGACUAUUGAAAGUGGAGAUGAGCCAGAUAGAAUCAAGCUCUUUAGAAAGACACACACCAAAAAGAGCGGAGAGAUAGUAGACUCUACAUCUUCAUAUAUAAUUGUAUGUAUUUUUAAAAUUUGAAAGUUGUAGAUAUAUUUUGUUUCUUUUACUUGUCGACUGAUGUAACUAACUUGUGAAAUGUUUCUUGAGGAACAAAUGGAUGAAAGGUUGUCACAAAUACCCACAGAUGAACAAACCCCAGAUUCGGUAGAAGAUGUCUUUACUCAAAUACUAGGCAAAGAUGGGCAUGGCAGGGUAAGGAUGGGAGGACUUGGAACAUGCCCAACUAAGGUUAGACAAAGACAACAGUAUCAAGUGCCUCAAGAGCAAUAUGACCAAAUGCGUGCGCAAAUUACUGCCGAGCUAGAAGAAAAAUUUCAAGUUCAAAUCCAAAGUCAAGUUCAAAUGCAAGUUCGUGCAAUACUUGAGGCAAUGGGACAUAUACCACCAGCUCCAGACAAUACACCACAACCGAGACAGCCAUCUUCAUAUGCUAGUGCUUCUGCCACACAUGCAAGCACACCAUCACCCGAAGCUGA